rnacentral:rRNA from 1 species
AGAGUUUGAUCCUGGCUCAGGAUGAACGCUAGCUACAGGCUUAACACAUGCAAGUCGAGGGGCAGCAUGUUGGUUGCUUGCAACCAACGAUAGCGACCGGCGCACGGGUGAGUAACGCGUAUCCAACCUACCCUUGUCCAUCGGAUAACCCGUCGAAAGGCGGCCUAACACGAUAUGCGGUUCACAGCAGGCAUCUAACGUGAACGAAAUGUAAAGGAGAAGGAUGGGGAUGCGUCUGAUUAGCUUGUUGGCGGGUAACGGCCACCAAGGCUACGAUCAGUAGGGGCUCUGAGAGGAAGGUCCCCCACAUUGGAACUGAGACACGGUCCAAACUCCUACGGGAGCA